rnacentral:misc_RNA from 1 species
UGGCUCUGGCAUCGAUGAAGAACGCAGCGAAAUGCGAUAAGUAAUGUGAAUUGCAGAAUUCAGUGAAUCAUCGAAUCUUUGAACGCACAUUGCGCCCGCCAGUAUUCUGGCGGGCAUGCCUGUUCGAGCGUCAUUACAACCCUCAGGCCCCCGGGCCUGGCGUUGGGGAUCGGCGGAGCCCUCUGUGGCACACGCCGUCCCCCAAAUACAGUGGCGGUCCCGCCGCAGCUUCCAAUGCGUAGUACCUAACGACGCAACUGGAGAGCGGCGCGGCCACGCCGUAAAACACCCAACUUUUAAACGUUGACCUCGAAUCAGGUAGGAAUACCCGCUGA